rnacentral:rRNA from 1 species
AUUGAACGCUGGCGGCAGGCCUAACACAUGCAAGUCGAGCGGAUGAUGAAAGCUUGCUUUCUGAUUCAGCGGCGGACGGGUGAGUAAUGCCUAGGAAUCUGCCUGUUAGUGGGGGAUAACUCGGGGAAACUCGGGCUAAUACCGCAUACGUCCUACGGGAGAAAGUGGGGGAUCUUCGGACCUUACGCUAACAGAUGAGCCUAGGUCGGAUUAGCUAGUAGGUGAGGUAAUGGCUCACCUAGGCUACGAUCCGUAACUGGUCUGAGAGGAUGAUCAGUCACACUGGAACUGAGACACGGUCCAGACUCCUACGGGAGGCAGCAGUGGGGAAUAUUGGACAAUGGGCGAAAGCCUGAUCCAGCCAUGCCGCGUGUGUGAAGAAGGUCUUCGGAUUGUAAAGCACUUUAAGUUGGGAGGAAGGGUUGUAGAUUAAUACUCUGCAAUUUUGACGUUACCGACAGAAUAAGCACCGGCUAACUCUGUGCCAGCAGCCGCCGUAACAC